rnacentral:rRNA from 1 species
AGAGAGAGACAUGCGCGCAUAUCAAUAAGCGGAGGAAAAGAAACUAACAAGGAUUCCCCUAGUAACGGCGAGUGAAGCGGGAAGAGCUCAAAUUUGAAAUCUUAAAGGGUUUCCCUUUACGAAUUGUAGUUUAAAGAAGUGUUUUCUGUUGAGGUUUUGGUAAAAGUUCUUUGGAAUAGGACAUCAUAGAGGGUGAGAAUCCCGUAUUUGACCUUUACUUUCAACUUUGUGAUACACUUUCAAAGAGUCGGAUUGUUUGGGAAUGCAGUCCAAAAUGGGUGGUAAAUUUCAUCUAAAGCUAAAUAUUGGCGAGAGACCGAUAGCGAACAAGUACCGUGAGGGAAAGAUGAAAAGAACUUUGAAAAGAGAGUUAAACAGUACGUGAAAUUGUCAAAAGGGAAGCGUUUGACACCAGUGUUGUUUUUCUGAAAAUCAAUUAAAGAACUGUUUAUGCUAAGCUGUUUAGACUUUAUCAGCUAUCUGUUUAGUUUUGAGCUUUUCUUUAAUGCACUUUUCAGUUAACAAGUCAACAUCAAUUUCUUUUGCUGUAAAAAAGCUUGAGGAAGGUGGCUUGAGAUUCGUCUUAAGUGUUUAUAGCCUCUUGCCUAUGCAGUCGGAGAGAUUGAGGUCUGCAGCGUAGAUCCUUCGGGGCUAAAUGCAUUUGUGCUAAGUUAUAGCAUUUUAUAGACAACUUGUUGACUAUGAUUUGUCUUGUAGCUUACUCGCUUAUGUUAUUUUACCUACGCUUAGGAUGUUGAAGACUCUACAGAGAUA